GAUGAACGCUGGCGGCGUGCCUAAUACAUGCAAGUCGAGCGAACGGACGAGGCGCUUGCUUCUCUUAUGUUGGCGGCGGACGGGUGAGUACCACGUGGCUAACCUACCUAUAAGACUGGCAUCCCUUCGGGAAACCGGAUCUCGUACCGGAUCUUAUUUUGAACCGCAUGGUUCAACAGUGACAGACGUUCUUGCUGUCACUUGUAGAUAGAUCCUCGCUGCAUUGGCUAGUUGGUAAGGUAACGGCUUACCAAGGCAACGAUGCAUAGCCGACCUGAGAGGGUGAUCGGCCACACUGGAACUGAGACACGGUCCAGACUCCUACGGGAGGCAGCAGUAGGGAAUCUUCCGCAAUGGGCGAAAGCCUGACGGAGCAACGCCGCGUGAGUGAUGAAGGUCUUCGGAUCGUAAAGCUCUGUUAUUAGGGAAGAACAGAUGUGUAAGUAACUGUGCACAUCUUGACGUUACCUAAACAGAAAGCCACGGCUAACUACGUG
rnacentral:rRNA from 1 species